rnacentral:rRNA from 1 species
GACAGAGGGUGCAAACGUUUGUUCGGAAUUACUGGGCGUAAAGCGCGUGUAGGCGGCAGGGCAAGUCGGAUGUGAAAGCCCACGGCUCAACCGUGGAAGUGCACCCGAAACUGCCUCGCUAGAGUCUCGGAGAGGAAGGUGGAAUGCUUGGUGUAGAGGUGAAAUUCGUAGAUAUCAAGCGGAACACCGGUGGCGAAGGCGGCCUUCUGGACGAUGACUGACGCUGAGACGCGAAAGCGUGGGGAGCAAACAGG